GAAGCGGAUCGGGUGGAGUGUAGGUCAUAUCGCCGCGGAUUGAUUCCUAAAGACUCAUGUUACGUGAGGAAGCAGCUCAGAAGAGGAAAGGAAAGGAGCCAGGCAUGGCUCUUCCUCAGGGACGCUUGACUUUCCGGGAUGUGGCUAUAGAAUUCUCAUUGGCAGAGUGGAAAUGCCUGAACCCUUCACAGAGGGCUUUGUACAGGGAAGUGAUGUUGGAGAACUACAGGAACCUGGAGGCUGUGGGUAGAGUCUCACUUUGUCACCCAGGCUGGAGUGCAGUGGUGUGAUCCUGGCUCACUGCAACCUCUACCUCCCAGAUAUCUCUUCCAAAUGCAUGAUGAAGGAGGUCUUGUCAACAGGGCAAGGCAAUACAGAAGUGAUCCACACAGGGACAUUGCAAAGACAUGAAAGUCAUCACAUUGGAGAUUUUUGCUUCCAGGAAAUUGAGAAAGAAAUUCAUGACAUUGAGUUUCAGUGUCAAGAAGAUGAAAGAAAUGGCCUUGAAGCACCCAUGAC
rnacentral:lncRNA from 1 species